rnacentral:rRNA from 1 species
UACGGGGGGGUGCGAGCGUUGUCCGGAAUUACUGGGCGUAAAGCGCGCGUAGGCGGCUGGGUAAGUCGAUUGUGAAAUCCCCGGGCUCAACCUGGGAAUUGCAGUCGAGACUGCCCGGCUAGAGUGUGGGAGAGGGUGGUGGAAUUCCCGGUGUAGCGGUGAAAUGCGUAGAUAUCGGGAGGAACAUCAGUGGCGAAGGCGACCGCCUGGCCCAACACUGACGCUGAGGUGCGAAAGCGUGGGUAGCAAACAGG